GGUGUUGAAGGCCCUGCAAAGCAGCAUCGCGGUGGCGGAGCGUCGUUUGCGACGCCCAACACACAAAACAAGCGGUGAAUGCUUUGGGGUGGGGUGACUGCGUACCUUUUGUAUAAUGGGUCAGCGACUUAUAUUCUGUAGCAAGGUUAACCGAAUAGGGGAGCCGGAGGGAAACCGAGUCUUAAUUGGGCGUUAAGUUGCAGGGUAUAGACCCGAAACCCGGUGAUCUAGCCAUGGGCAGGUUGAAGGUUGGGUAACACUAACUGGAGGACCGAACCGACUAAUGUUGAAAAAUUAGCGGAUGACCUGUGGCUGGGGGUGAAAGGCCAAUCAAACCGGGAGAUAGCUGGUUCUCCCCGAAAGCUAUUUAGGUAGCGCCUCGUGAAUUCAUCUCCGGGGGUAGAGCACUGUUUCGGCUAGGGGGCCAUCCCGGCUUACCAACCCGAUGCAAACUGCGAAUACCGGAGAAUGUUAUCACGGGAGACACACGGCGGGUGCUAACGUCCGUCGUGAAGAGGGAAACAACCCAGACCGCCAGCUAAGGUCCCAAAGUCAUGGUUAAGUGGGAAACGAUGUGGGAAGGCCCAGACAGCCAGGAUGUUGGCUUAGAAGCAGCCAUCAUUUAAAGAAAGCGUAAUAGCUCACUGGUCGAGUCGGCCUGCGCGGAAGAUGUAACGGGGCUAAACCAU
rnacentral:rRNA from 1 species